UUAAAUUAAUUAUGAAAACUCUAUGAUAUAAAAGUCUUAUCAAACAAAUUUUUUAUUUUAUAAUUUUUUAGAACUAAAAUACAUUUCUUAGAAAUUAAUUCAAACAGGCUCUUACUCUCCCUACCAAGAUAAAAUGGAUAAACUAUACCAUGCGAUCCACUUAAUUUUCUGACAAGUUUGAAGGUAUGAUAUAUCCACCUCUAGAUGAUAAUCUACGGACAAGAUAGAAGCUAACCUUGCACAAACCUUUUGACUGAGAAUCUUGCGGUGUCGUUCCACCAAAAAAAUUGUCAACAACAUUAACAUUCGGAAUCAAAUUAAGAAUGAGAAGAAGAUCAUUUAAAUCUGUCUGAGAAGCUUCCACAAGAAAAUCAGAAUUAAAUUGAGGUUCCAAGACCAAACACCAUGGCACCACUAUCUCAAAUCCUCUAUAGAAGGUCUAAAAAAUUGUACCUUUUCAAACUGACUAGAAAACCCUUGCAUAGCUUGCAAGAAAACCCAUUACCUAACCAAUUUGCUUCGCCACCCCUAAUACCUAACGAGACCCUUAGAUCCCUCAAAUAAAAGAGUUUAAAUAAAUAAUGCCAAAUAAAAGAGUUUAAAUAAAUAAUGCCAAAUAAAAGAUAUAAUAAUAAUUUUAAUGAGUCAUCAAAUAUAGACUAUAUUAAAAAAAUAAACUUUACCAAUUUAAAUAUAUUUUUAUAAAUUUACUUUUGAUUAAAAAUAAUUAAUUGAGAGAGUUCUAUAUUAAAGUGGAUUUUUUAUACGAUUAAAAAUUAAUAAAAAGUAUGAUACAGGAAAAAAAACAUAAAUAUAUUAAAACAAAAUUAAAAAAAACACAGAACAUUAUUAUCGUUAUGCUAUAUUAAAAAAAAAUCACAAACUUGCAAAAACAAAAUAUAAAACAAAAAUUUAACAUAUUUACAUUAAUGUCAUUAAUGAAAAAUCAUUAUUUUCCAUAUAUUUUCAAAACACCAAAUAGAAAAGAAAAACAUCAAAAGAUGUUUCCACUUUUUAAUUUUUAAAAAGAGAAUACUAAAAUUAAUUAUGAAAACUCUAUGACAUAAAAGUCUUAUCAAACAAAUUUUUUGUUUUAUAAUUUUUUAGAACUAAAAUACAGUUCUUAGAAAUCAAUUCAAACAGGCCGUUACUCUCCCUACCAAGAUAAAAUGGAUAAACCAUACCAUGCGAUCCACUUAAUUUUCUGACAAGUUUGAAGGUACGAUAUGUCCACCUCAAGAUGAUAAUCUACGGACAAGAUAGAAGCUAACCUUGCACAAACCGUUUUGCCUGAGAAUCCCGUGGUGUCGUUCCACCAGAAAAAAUUGUCAACAACAUUCAUAAUCAAAUUAAGAAUGAGAAGAAGAUCAUUUAAAUCUGUCUAAGAAGCUUCCACAAGAAGAUCAGAAUUAAAUUGAGGUUCCAAGACCAAACACCGUGGCACCACUACCCCAAAUCCUCUCUAGAAGGUCUAGAAAAUUGUACUUUUUCAAACUGACUAGAAAAUUGCAGCUUCAAUUGGGCAUCUCCAAUCCAUUGAUUUCUC
rnacentral:lncRNA from 1 species